UACGUAGGCAGCAAGCGUUGUUCGGAGUUACUGGGCGUAAAGGGUGCGUAGGUGGCUCUAUAAGUAUGGUGUGAAAUCUCCCGGCUUAACUGGGAGGGUGCGCCGUAGACUGUGGGGCUAGAGUGUGGGAGAGGAAAGUGGAAUUCCUGGUGUAGCGGUGAAAUGCGUAGAUAUCAGGAGGAACACCUGUGGCGAAAGCGGCUCACUGGACCACAACUGACGCUGAGGCGCGAAAGCUAGGGGAGCAAACAGG
rnacentral:rRNA from 1 species